UAGGGAAUCUUCCACAAUGGGCGCAAGCCUGAUGGAGCAACACCGCGUGAGUGAAGAAGGGUUUCGGCUCGUAGAGCUCUGUUGUUAAAGAAGAACACGUAUGAGAGUAACUGUUCAUACGUUGACGGUAUUUAACCAGAAAGUCACGGCUAACUACGUGCUAG
rnacentral:rRNA from 1 species